rnacentral:lncRNA from 1 species
CUUAAGGCCUUGUUUCCCCAAAAUGACUCUUAGGUGGUGCUCUGGAUGAGCUCUCCGAGUUUUAGUAGUGUUUAUUUUAUUAUUGUUUUUAAAAAUUUACUUAUUAUUUUUUAAGGCUGCACCUCCAGCAUACGGAAGUUCCUAGGGAUUGAAUCGGAGCUGCAGCUGCCGGCCGACACCACAGCUACAGCAACGCCGAAUCCUUAACCCACUGAGCGACGCCAGGGAUUGAACCCACGUCCUCAUGGAUACUACUCAGGUUUGUUUCUGCUGUGUCACAACGGAAACCCUAGUAGAGUUUUUCUUCAUGUGCCACAGAAAAAUACCACCUGUAUAUUGGCCGGAUUUAUAGAUUCUUUAGGGCCUGUCUAAAGUGUACAUUUGAAUUAGUGUCAAACUGAAAACUCUUGAGUAAGAAAUAGGAAAGUGGCCAGUGUGUGUGACAAAAAUAUGGGGGUUUGCUAUGACUGGGGUUUGGUGGACAAGACGGUGAAGGGGAAGAGAAGUCUCAGCCACUGACAGAAUUUCUCCAUAAUAGAAUAGGGAGAUGGAGGCAGGGGAGAAGGUGAGACCUGGCUGUAGGAACUGAGAGAACAGGCCUGGUGGCUUUUCAGGGUGGUGGCUCUGCACUUCCCCAUCAGAGUCACCUGGAGGACAUGUUGCAGCAGAGCUGGGCCUUUCCCCUGGAGUUCCUGAUUCACUUGUUCUGAGAACCAGGAAUCUGCAUUUCUAACUUCCUGGGUGAUACCAAUAACUGCUGGACAGGACAACACAGAACUGCUGAUGGAGAGGUGGCAGUGGGUCGCAGCACACCUCAAUUUGGAUAAACUACAUCUCAAGUUCUCUGUAGCCUCCACGACCCUGUUCUACCUGCUGCCUUCCAGGAUGAGAACAUCCAGGUACAUGUGCCUGUAAUCGCCAUUUCUGCCACUAGGUGGUGCAGGUGAUCUUUCCCAUGUUAAUGCAUUAGGCAUUAGAGCUUGGGUGAGGAGCUCUGUUCAAUCUGUCUUUUUAUUUGUUUAAAUUUUAGCCAGAAGUAAGCUUAAAAGAUUCCAUUAUAAACUGACUCACAUGUAAAGAAACACAUGUAACUGGGUCCAUGUGCAUCUGAGGCCAAUUGAAUAACUGGGAAUUCUCCACUUUAGUAUCUGCGUAAAAUAGGAAUAAGUAGUAAAGAUAUGUGAAUUUAAAGCUGCUCAGUAGAACAGUAGUAAUGGCAGCAAUUGUUUAGAACUUGGGCAAACAAAAGGCUUUUUUGGUGGGGAUUAUUCUUUCAAUGACAUUGUUUAGAAUUGCAAGUAUAUGGUUUUAAUAACUAGACAAACUAUUAGUUGAUUAUUUAAAAAAUUCUCCUUACAGGAGUUCCUGUUGUGGCGCAGUGGUUAACGAAUCCGACUAGGAACCAUGAGGUUGUGGGUUUGAUCCCUGGCCUUGCUCAGUGGGUUAAUGAUCCGGCGUUGCCGUGAGCUGUGGUGUAGGUUGCAGACGCGGCUCAGAUCCUGCAUUGCUGUGGCUCUGGUGUAGGCCGGCAGCUACAGCUCCUAUUGGACCCCUAGCCUGGGAACCUCCACAUGCCUCGAGAGUGGCCCUAGAAAUGGCAAAAAGACAAAAAAAAAAAAAAAAAAAUCUCCUUACAACAUUGUAAGUCAUCUAUAGUCCAAUUAAAAAAAAAAUCUUCCAUGGCAGCUGACUCCCUUGUUGCCCGCAUGCGAGGGGAACUGGUCUGACCAUCCCACCCGUGGUUCACUGUGGUACCUGCAAUCCUGGG